ensembl:lncRNA
CUUCUUUGUGUCAACUCUAAAAUUUACGUUUUGUUUAUUUUUUAGUAAUUUCUAUUUCUCCGUUGAACUUUAUUAUUUGCUACGUCAUUAUCACCAUAUUUUUCCCUUAAUUCUUUAAAUAAGGUUUCCGUUAAUUCUUUGAAUAUAGUUAUAAGUUGCUUUGACAUCUUUUUUUGGCAAAUCCACCAUAUGGGCUCACUCAGAGUUAGUUUCUUUUGACCACUUUUAAAAAUUCCUGGAUAUGGGUCACAUUUUUCUGUUUCUUUGCAAAUCCCAAUUGUUUUCGUUUGAAACUGGACAUUUUAGGUAAUACAUUUAAGAAAUUAUGAAUUCUGAUCUUCCCCCGGGGGUUGUUGUUACUGGUUUUGUUUUGUUUUUUUAAUUGCUUGUACUUAGAAAGUCUUCCACCAUCUAUUGGUGAAUUUUUGUGUGGGGUGGUUAGUGCAUUCAAAAUUCAGGCACUUUUCUAAUUUGUUCCAGGUUUUCUUUUCACUAGGCCCUCGUACAUCUUUCUUGCAUAAGUUCACAGCCUCUUUCAGCUAUCAUUGUGUGGAGAUUGUGGGCUCUGGCAGGUCAUUUCUGUGUGUUCACACAGACUCUAAAUUAGCUUGGAGUAUGUGGUAGAAUUGAGCCCCCUUGGGUUCUCCCCUGCAUGUGUAUGUCACCUUAGCCAGGAAUAUGUGGAGAAAUUAUCUAGUCCAUCUAUCAUUCUCUCAUUUCUAGGACCUCCUCGUUAAACUUCUAGUCCUUUGAUCUGCUGCCUUUGACAAGUGGAAUCACAACUCAGGCUAGCAGAACUGUGUGCUUUCCUGUUCAUUUUCUACCAAGUUUUCUAUUUUUACUAACAGAGUGACUGGGAAUGGAGUUUGUGUCCUCUGCUCAAAAACAAGUUAGCCCCUGCCAACAGUGAAGUGAGUUGUUUUCAUGACCAGCUCUGCCCUGGCAUUCUACCAUCUGAGCUGUGGGAAGAGAUGGAGUGACCUCAGAGAAGAAUGCUACAGAUUCCCACUCUUCUUACCUGAUGGUCAGCAGCUGUUUAUAAACAAACACUUCUUAAUUUGUUUUUUACCUUUGGUUGAUAUCCAGAACCCUUUGAUGAUUGCUUUUGACAAUUUUGUCAGUUUUAUAGAUUUUGAUUUUUUUGAGAGAGAGGGUUUGCUGACUUCUUUACUCUGCCACCACUAGAAGAUUUGGCCCCUUACUUCUUGACACAGCAGCUAACUGCAAAAGCCUGGGAAUGAUUUAAUUUAACUGAAAAUGACUAAAGUGAGCAUAGCUGGUUAACAGCGACCACAGGUUCUUUGUACUUCACCUAUCAAGAGGUGAAGUCUGUGUCCCUCUUCCCCACUCCAACCAACCCUCAAAGUCCCUGGAAUCUAGGAGGCUCUGUGAAAACUUUGACUUAUAGAAUACAACAAAAGUCACUCUCAGCUAAUUUCAUGGCCUAGGACUUAAGAUAUUGACAGCUCUCACUUUUUUUCACUUUCUUGUUAUGAUGCUGUGAGGGAGACGCAGCAGUGUGGAAAAGCUUCGUGGAAAGGCACUAAGAUACCUGACCAAUAGCCUCAGCUGAGUACCAACUUGCCAGCUGUGGGCAAGGCUGCUAAAGAAAUGGAAGCAGCACAGGCAGCAGGAGGCUUGCUCAGAACUAGAAACUUGGGGCUGCCUUGGCUGAAGCAGUUUUCCUUCUCAGCACUGGAGUGUUGGGGCAGGAAGAGAAAUGAGGGUGCAGGGGAAAAGAAGAAGGGAAAAUCUGUGAGUAUACAAAAACUUGCAUUUGUCUCUAUUUGAGUCUAUUUCAAUUUUAAACUGUCUCUGGAAAGGAAAACGGUAAAAGCUUAAAAGAGAGGGAACUUGGCAUCAUUGUAUUCUGCUCUUUAUCUGCCAUGUUAAUAUAGGCCUGUUUGCUCUAAACGAGGUUGACAUACCCUUUCAUGAUCUAUCAAUGAUCUAUUAGAAAUCCUGACAUCCUUCAUUCUACGAAAAACAAGCAGCAUCUUUCAUAGUGUGAUAGAAAGCACGGGGGCAGUAUGAUUUGUAGUUGUUUGGGUAUUUGGUUUUUAAAAUUAUAUUUAUUAACUUUAUAAAAUGUUGAGGGUUGAAUGAAUGUCAAAGAACAAAUACAUCUAGCUUAUGUUUGUUGCAUUUCUCCUGGCUUGAUUUUUCGUUUACUGAGAAAUGACAAUAUUCAGGAGCUAUUGGCAGGUGAAAUCAGACCCUGAGAACUUUGGUUGGGCCUGGAGAAGAGCUUUUGUAUAUACAUCAGAAUUAGUUGCAUUCUUUUAAACUGAUGAGAGCAUUCCUAACUGAUUUUCAUAGGAAAUUAGCUUCAUUUGAUGGCAGAAGUAAAUUCAUCUACUUUUGGCUGACUCAUUCCUAUUACAAUGUUGGUCUACUCAGAAGGUGGGAUCAGCUGCCUGUCUUUGGGCCUCUGUAGAACCCUGACAAUAUAAUGGACCUAUUCUCUAGUUAAUUCAUGGUGUCUGGUGUGUGCCUACCAGUUUAACAGAUGGAUCUCUAGUCAGCCUCCUCUCAAACUCUUUAUUAAAUAUUUAUAGAGCCAGAGCGCAAGUAGACCCAGCUUUGCCCCUGGAAUUAUGUGCAUGGACCUCUAGACGAGGGAGGUUAUCCACUCAGUCAGCUCAGGGAGCAGAGACAAAAUAUUUCCUCCAAGAAGUUUCCAGAAGCACAUUGAGUAGUUUUACGUUAUACGCCGUGAUGAGAUCAUGAGUAUUCCAGCAGUAUUCUGUAAACAUGAUGUUAUCUUGAAAAUACAAAGCUAUUAUUAGUGUGGGAAGAUAAGAGAUGUCCACCAAAUUCAUGAGUAAAUCUGAGUAUUUGGGGACAGGUUUUAUCACUCCAUGAAAAAAAUGUGCAAAUGAAUAAUGACACCUUUUGCUUAAGUAGCACAUAUAUACAUGGAGAGAUGCCAGAAGAAAGUGCUAAUGAGAUAAGUUUGUGAAAACUGAGUAGAUUUAAAAACACUUAAAAUAAAAUAUCAUGCAUUGGACACGUAAAGGAAGGUGAUAAAAUGAAAAUUCCAAAGUAGUUCAAAUCUUUAACUGAGUCAAGGCCGGGGGUGGGGGGGGGUGCAUGGUGAGGGAUGCUGAGGAAGCUCACUCAAGCAGAGGCGUCCUGGUGAUCUCAGAGAAGGCCCUUCUCUGUAGACCAAACGGUGCUUGAGUUAAGAGCAGAAGAAGUGGUCAUCAGGCUGUAGACUAUGAGAGAAGACUCCUGAGUUUUAAGAUGUGCUGUAGUGCUGCUGGAAGAAUGCCACGACCACAACCCUCAUGCUGCACUUAUGAGUUACAUAGUCAUUGGGCUAGAGAGGACUUUCUGAGCUUCAGUCCUUUUUUGGACAGUCCCCUUGAAAAUUAUCCCAAAGACUUAGAGACUAAUCUGGGGAAACAUCACUGUGCCAGAUUAUAACCACAUACUUAAUUUUAAUGCCAUCAGAUAAAUUACUAACUCCAUCCCUCAAAGGUAUUUCAGUGGUUUCAGGAAGUUUUUUAAGAUCUUCUUAUUUAAAAUUUUAAAUGACUGCUAAUUUGGCAGUAUAUAAAACCAUGAAUGUCCUUUUCACUUGGCUAACUCCUUGAAUGAAAUCGUUAUAUUAUGACAAUAAAUGUAUUUUAUGAUAAAUAAUCUUACUGUUAUAAAUACUUUAGUUGCUGUUUUCUUGUUGCCAACAAAGUUACUAGCUGUUCUUCCAUGCUAAAAGGCAUCUUCUUUUGUUUCCAGUUUUAUUGACUUAGCUGUUCGUCACGAACAUUCUAAGGUGUUCAAGCCCUAUGUUAAUUGCUGUAGAAAGAUUUUAAAAGAAUAGACUCUUGACCAGUCCUUGCAUUUGGGGGAGUUUAUAAUGGAGUAGUAGGGGAGGGGAGAGGAAGUAUAAAUGAAAAGCAUCAAGAAUAUGUUUGUAGAAAACUGAGUUGGACGUGGCCAAGAGUACACACGCAGUGAAUGCAUGUUAUGAGCAGAUAGGGUUAAUCAAGGUUUUUCUUAGAGAUGUGUUGAUAUUUGUACAGUACUGAAAAUGAUGGCUGAGUUUAGCGUUUGCUACAUUAGUAGGAACUAAUGAGUUUUAGUUGAUGAGUUAACUAAUGUUAAUAAUAUGUAAGGUAGUGCUAUAGUCUGACUGUUUGUGUCUCUCUCAAAUUCAUGUGUUAAAAUCCUAAUCUCCAGUGUGAUGGUAUUAGGAGGUGGGGCCUUUAGGAGGUGAGUAGGUCAUGAGAGCAGAGGCCUUGUGAAUGGGAUCAGUGCCCUUAAAAAAGAGGCCCACAGCGCUCCCUAGCCCUCUCCACCAUGUGAAGAUACAACAAGAAGUCUGAGACCUGGAAGAGACUCCUCACCCACCCAUGCUGGCAUCUGAUCUCAGACUUCCAGCCUCUAGACCUGUGAGAAAUAAACUUCUGUUGCAUAAGCCACCGAUUCUGUGGUGUCUUACUACAACCUGAAUGAAAUAAUGAGGUGGGAUCCCUGAAAAUAUUCUUAGAGUCUAAUGUUAGCAUCACAAGUCUGGGCUUUGUAGGUCAGUGCAGGUGUUAGCUCUGACUGUUAAUAUGGAGAUGACUUAAGCAGAUACACAUGAAAGUUAAGAGCCUCCUCACUCAAGCUUGUCUACAGGAAGUGCUAUAUUUUGGAGAACGGCCCUGAUGAAGCAUCAGCAGUACAGCACCAGACCUCAGUUGACAACACACAGUUUAGACAGCCCAGGAACUCAGGUUGCUGUAGCAACACCUGUACUUCUUCUGGGUUGCCUCACUGGAGGGGUGGGCAGGUGUGUCCCUCUCCCCAGAGUGAAAACUUACCGCAUCAUGCAGCAUCCAGGGCACUUGCCCCUUCUGGAACCCAGUUCUGAGGAUUCCUGGCCAUGUUUGUUAAUCUGAGGAAAUGGGUUCGUGAAUAACACAGCAACACGGGUGCUGUGGGGUCCUGACACUGGGCCUUGUGUAAAGCCUUCUUCCAAUCUCUCAAAGGACAUCAAACCGCAAUUGGAGCUGUGUUAUACAGCAUUUGUAUAAUCAGAUAAGUUCUUGGAGGUAGAAGAAUUGAAGAAUAUCACAUCUGCUCACACUUGAGAUGUGUGAGAAAUAAUGAAAAAAUAAGGUACCUAUUAAAGUCUUCAGAAAGAAAAGCAAUAGGAAGUAUGGUCACACUUUAGGAUUUUUUGGGGGUAUAACUUUGGGUUUUUGUCUUUUUACAACCAUAGCUCAUUACAGAGGAAACUUUUAGACCUCAUUUUGAAACAGAGAUGAUAUUUCUCUGUCACAUAGCAAGAAGACCAUUGUGGAAAGUCAACUUUAUUGCCCACAGAAUUGAAACAAUAAAAUG